rnacentral:misc_RNA from 1 species
UAUUCUUGCAAUAUUGGUAAUUGGCAUUUCAAAAUUUGGCAUUACAUCAUGUUAAAUAAAAUUAAACUGUAAUCAAAUGAAAAAAUAAUCUAAAUUUUAUCAUCUGGUGUGAUUAUGAACCUCCACUACUGCCAACACCACUAAAAAUAAUAAUAAUAAUUCUAAUUGUGAUUUGCAUGACUUUGUGCUUGGACCACUGGGGUUGAAAUGAAAGCAUUAGCGGUACUAAUCAUGAAGUAAUAUACACAAUUAUAAAAUUUGGGAAAAAAAAAAAAGAAAAGGUGCAGUGGCAUAUAGGACGUCGAUGACCUCAGACUUUUGGGUAGAAUAAAGUCACCUUUGCUCAACAGAUGAUAAUUUCCAUUUGUAAGGCAAGAGCUUUCUGGAAAUCCGUCGCUCAGAAGUUGGGAGGCAAUAAACUUUUCGCUGGUCUAGCACCACCCAAAGAUUUACAUAACAGUCAAACGUGUUUCAGGUUAUCUUUCAUAUUCUUUCCCAGGUUUCCACAACAGAAACUAACAGAAAAACUGGGAAAAGCUCAUGGGAAUUUUGUUCUAGAUGUGCUGUCACCUAGAUCUUCCAAAAUAAUUUUAACUCCAUUGUUUUUAAGGGCAUUAACAAUUGCCCAGAUCUUGGUUUGAUUUUUAAAACCUUCUUUCUCAAUCUCUUUGUUUAGAUUGACAUGAAUUCCUCUUCCAUAUUGUCCCUGGUCAAGACCCUCCACCUUCAGAGGCAUGGCCAACAACUCUCCAACAACUGCUGCUGCUUUGGCAUUGCAGGACCAACCACAUUCAAGUGCAUUCUUGAUGGAAUGCUAAACUGUUGAUGAUGUUGCAACAAUCCUCCCAUUGUUUCUGCCUACAACAUUUGCUGUAAUGUACUUCAAUGAUAUAUACAAUCUCAAUGCGUACCUUUUCAAAACUGUCAUUCUUUUAACUCUCCAGAAAUUAUGUUUAGAUACAAAACAAUUAUCAGUUUAGGAAUUUAUCAUCUUUAGCAGUAGGUACAGAAUGAAACAAUCAACAAAUCAUAGCAAAAAGAAUUAAGAAAAUGUUGUUUUCAUUCUUUUGAAUGUUGAUUUCAACGCAAGCCUCCACGCACCACCAUUACUAUCUUAGCAGUUAAGAGCAUAGAAAUGAUAUGGUUUCUUAAAAUCAAACAUAAUUUCAAAAGAUUCAACAAGCAAUAACAUUCAAAUUUAUCUCAUGCAACUAAAUAACGCACAUGUAAGGCACUGCUUCUGCACUUCAAUCAUCUCAUUAGCGUCAUCACCAACCACCCACAAAACUUUCACUAAAAUUGCAUUAUUAAGGUUAACUCUUUUAAGUCAUAUGGAUGCCAAAAGUAUAUCAACUACUUGUUGUUCAGAUUGGAUGCUUACACAAUCACUAAUCUAAUAAAGUUUAAAGAUGAAUGAAGAAUCUAUCUGGCUCUGAAUAGUAAGGUAGCAAACAUCCUUAAGAUAACUCAAAGGAUAUGCUCACUACAGACGGCUAAAAUGGAUCAUGCAAAUAAACAUCAUUACAAACUCAACAUGAUUUGGAUGAAAUGGGAAUUAAAUGAACAUUCACUAUAGUAUAGCCAGCCUAUCCUUAAAGUCCUAGGAGCGUGCCAAAUAUGUACCAAGUAUAUCAAAUCGUAGUACCAAAAUAUAACAUGUUUACAUAAGAACCAGGUUAAGUGGAAUUGGAAUGGGUACUGAAUAUAGGUGUUUCAUGAGAUCAUACUUCAAAAGUUCCAUAGCCACUGGUUUGGAAACCUCAUAACUGUUAGGAAGUCCACAACAACCCUACAUGCCGCAAUAUUUGUUGCCAUCAACGAGCAAAUUAGCUCACCACUGUGCUUUCUUUCCUCACCAUAACCUACCUACUUAAUCUUACACUAAGCUUAGUAAUCAUGGAACACCCAACUAAGCAAAACCCCUAAAGACCAUGAAUUUACUCGAAAUUCCAAAAUUUUCUUAUCAUUUCCUUCGCUUUCUCUAAAACCAAUCACACCCCAAUACACACUGCAACGAGUGAGAGCCAGGCCAAAACCGAGACAAGCUGUUUCUUU